AUAAGAUACGAGGAUUACACAUGACAAUUGGCAAAGGGGUGAGAAAAGAAAUACCGCGAGCCUGCGAUUACAUUUGUCGUCGAGAGCAGGUCUAGGCAGGAAUUACAGACAUAAGUCCUUCAGCCCCAUGUAGCAAUUUAAUUAAAUUUCGUCAAGUUGGACUCACUGCCGUUCACUGGGCUGAUUUUGUAUAGAACCCAGCUAGUACAUGCACCUCUGUAGGGUCAAAUGCUGCUGAGUUGACCCAGGCUCUUCACAGUUGUCAAAUUUCUCAUGAAAUGCCACCUGUUCCUGUAUACAGAGCAAGAGGUAUUUCAAUACAAUCUCAAAGCUAUAAUAUUGGACACCAAGCCUCACAUUUGGUCAGGGCCAGACGUAAAACAAUCAUUGUGUGCGACUUGUAGAUAAGGUUUUCAGUUUUAUACAACCACCGAUUUUGGCCUCAUGAGGACGAGUGAUACAACUGGCCACUCGUACGUCGAAGUCUUCAUACCGACCAAAGUAAUGCCAAAUACAACAACGUGGAUUUUACAACAGAUACCAUGACUGAACAACAUUCUUGGAAGGUAAUGGCCGAUACUUUUAUAAACGACUACUCCAUCAAGAUUAAACUGGGAAUCGAGUUUGAUCCGUGGCUACUGUCAGUCGCUGAAGCAAUCCACAAGGUGGUCGAAAUGCGUCGAUCGUUUCUCAUCCUUUUAUUCGGCCUCUGUGUUGUCAUAACCAUCACUUCGGCAGGGGUCUUCAAAAUGCAUUCGCGUAUCACGAAUCCCAUCGCGUCGUUCUUUGCCAACGCGAAACCCAAUAAUGCGAACAGAACUCAAAGCACCAGCCUGGGAAAUGUAGUCGACUACGUGGGCUAUUUCAGUACUGCGGACGACUACAAACCUUAUUACAACACGGAAGCUGUUCUGUCGCAUACGCACACUCUUUCGUCAUCGGCAUACAUCGGUGGCUCGUCCAUUCCGAUUGCCCCACCCAAAAGAGGAACGUACCAAUAUGAUACGUGCGGGAGCAACAUAGUAGUCCCGUUGACUUAUAAUCGCAAAAUCUUGGCGGAGCAAGCCCUCAGACCUACUUACAAAUCGACUGAUUUUCCUGCCGGACGCACCUACCCAUUGGUUUGCAAUUGGAAUGUGCAGGUGAGUAAAAACUGCAGUCGUGCUAGAAUCACAAUGAGAGUUGACGGCCGCAGUCGAUUGCCAGAUGAAGAAGGUUGCGCCAAAGGAUACAUUCGCGUCCUCCUUUUAUGAAAGAGGCCAAGAUUUGUGGGCGCGUCAACUACAUUCAACCGUAUUAUUGGUAUGUAGAAGAUCAAAAGUCGGAAACUGUCACCAUCACCAUGAAAAAUAUCGGCCUGAAUGAUGGCUUCUCUGAGGGAUUCUCUUUUACCUUGUCAGGCGAAUGUCUUCCGAUUGAAAUUGGCAUAAAAAAUUCGAUGUCAACAAGGAAAACGCAGGAUCGAAUAGCCGAUGGAUGUACCGUCUUUAUCGGACUCUGCUGUUUCCGGUGUUCCAACGGUGGUCAUUCCGGGUGUCGUUGCCGGCACGGAUAACAAUCCCGUUCCAGCAAAUAUCCCGCAUGUUGCAAAUGAUCCCGCAAAAUUUCCGCCGGUCGACACGGGUAACGAUGCCGAGAUGUUGAUGCUCAUUCAGAAAGACAAAGAGCGGAACCAGACAACGACAACUACUGCCACGACGUCGACUACAACCACCACCGAACAGACUACUAAGACCACUCCCACGACAACUCCUACGACAACAACUACGAAACGCCCAAUUCCUGAUUUUGAUCUUGAGACUCCAUGGGAUGUCCUCAAACCGUUAAAACCAACGACCCGACCAUUUCCCUCAACCUCUUCCACGAGCAUAAAUGUUUCGAAACCUACCGUCCCAACGUCUUUUUGAGUGAACCUAAACCUCAUCCUAUACUCAGCGUCAAGUUCCCUAAUCGCGUCCAAUUCACGUCCACCACGAUCUUCCCGCCGAGCACGAGUGCAAAACCUACCAAGAAACCCGUCGAUUCCACUUUUGAUUUAGAAACUCCAUGGCAAACACUCAAAACCAAUCCUCGCUACCGAUAAUACCUCCCCUUUCAACCAGCACCACCAAAGCUCCUUUGGCCAGUUGCGACAACACAAUCGUCCAUCACGAUCCUGAAAUAUAACCGCCGCAACCAGUCCAUCUCGGCUUACAAACCUGACCCGCAGCCUUCCGUCAGUCUGCCUGAGGACAGUACAAAAUGGAAACUCCCUGUUGCGUCUGCGGUGACUUAUCUUGAUUCGCCCUACUCGAAUCAGCCGUCCUUGUCGGAAAUUGAUUCUGAAAAUGACGACGGAGGUUCCAAUGAAUUGAUUGUAGAAAAUCAAGAGGUACCCGACCUUCCUAUUGACGACGUGGUCGAUGAUGCUCUAUCGUACAUUACUACGCUCUUAGAUAAUCCACUAUUACAAAAAUCACUGCCGAAAAAACCUCUAAGAAAAAGUCCAAAUCUGGUAGUAUUCAAAGGUUUGAGUGAUUAUCCCUCAAUUGCAUAAUACUUAAUAAGCAUAUUCACGAAAGAAAAAUUACAAAUUAUUUUUAAGCAAAUCCAAAUAUUUUAUAUCAUCUAUAUGGGUAUGUCGUUCCGUAUUAUUGAAAGACGUUACUGUUAUCAUUUGUUGCAUUUUUUUUUUUAAAUUCAACACUCAACAUUUCGAAAAUAUGUUUCUGCCAAUUUGAUACCGAAGAUGGUUGUCUGGCAUCACGAGAAAUUGUGAAAUAAAACGAGAAUUUAAUCUAA
rnacentral:sRNA from 1 species